rnacentral:rRNA from 1 species
CCUACGGGUGGCAGCAGUGAGGAAUAUUGGUCAAUGGGCGAGCGCCUGAACCAGCCAAGUCGCGUGAAGGAUGAAGGAUCCAUGGUUUGUAAACUUCUUUUAUAUGGGAAUAAAGUGAGGAACGUGUUCCUUUGUGUAUGUACCAUCUGAAUAAGCAUCGGCUAACUCCGUGCCAGCAGCCGCGGUGAUACGGAGGAUGCGAGCGUUAUCCGAAUUUAUUGGGUUUAAAGGGUGCGAAGGUGGUUAAUUAAGUCAGCGGGUAAAGUUCGGGGGUCAAACAUAAAAUUGCCGUUGAAACUGGUUGACUUGAGUAGACUAGAGGUAGGCGGAAUGCGUGGUGUAGCGGUGAAAUGCAUAGAUAUCGCGCAGAACUCCGAUUGCGAAGGCAGCUUACUAAAC